UACGUAGGGUGCGAGCGUUGUCCGGAAUUACUGGGCGUAAAGAGCUCGUAGGUGGUUUGUCGCGUUGUCCGUGAAAACUCACAGCUCAACUGUGGGCGUGCGGGCGAUACGGGCAGACUGGAGUACUGCAGGGGAGACUGGAAUUCCUGGUGUAGCGGUGGAAUGCGCAGAUAUCAGGAGGAACACCGGUGGCGAAGGCGGGUCUCUGGGCGGUAACUGACGCUGAGGAGCGAAAGCGGUGGGGAGCGAACAGG
rnacentral:rRNA from 1 species